rnacentral:lncRNA from 1 species
AAAUUGCAAUGUGUUGCAAAGUUGGAGGGACUGCACACGCAAAUAUCCCAUGUGGAGAAAACACGUGGAUCCUCUCCUCAGGGUCGGGUCACUACGCGGGUCAGGGCCAAAAUGACGUCGUUUUGACACCUGACCCCUAAUGGCAAAACGGCGUCGUUUCGUUUAGGGUAUUUAAACCCAAUUUUCUUCAAAAAAAACAUUUUAGCCACUAUUUAAAAAAAAACAAACAAAAACCCUUCCUCCUCCCCUCUAAACGUCCG